CCUACGGGUGGCAGCAGUGGGGGAUAUUGCACAAUGGGGGAAACCCUGAUGCAGCGACGCCGCGUGUGGGAAGACGGUCCUCUGGAUUGUAAACCACUGUCCCCAGGGACGAAGAUGACGGUACCUGGGGAGGAAGCUCCGGCUAACUACGUGCCAGCAGCCGCGGUAAUACGUAGGGAGCGAGCGUUGUCCGGAAUUACUGGGUGUAAAGGGAGCGUAGGCGGGACUGCAAGUUGGGUGUCAAAUCUACCGGCUCAACCGGUAGCCGCACUCAAAACUGCAGUUCUUGAGUGAAGUAGAGGCAGGCGGAAUUCCUAGUGUAGCGGUGAAAUGCGUAGAUAUAUGGAAGAACACCAGUGGCGAAAGCGGCUCUCUGGUCUGUAACUGACGCUGAGGUUCGAAAGCGUGGGUAGCAAACAGGAUUAGAUACCCCAGUAGUC
rnacentral:rRNA from 1 species